CUGGGGUCCCUUUUUGCAAAGCCGAAGACCUUUUGGCAAAUGUGGGACCCCAUUCUGCAAACUCAGGGUCCUUUUUUUGCAAGACUCACUGGAUUUGGCUCAUUUCUCCCGCCGGUGCAAAGGGCUGGAAAAUGCAAAGCGACAGCUCUGCUGGCCCAGCGCCGCACAGCCGCGUCCUGCCCUCCUGCCGACCCGCUGGGCUGACAUCAUCCGUGGGGCUUCGAUGGGUUACCUGCUUUUCCGGGGCCUUAUCACUGCUCAGAUACAAAAUGCAAAGCUGGGGGUGAGGAGACUGCAGAUGAGACGAUGCCUUCAGGCUUGGUGCAUGGCAUUGCCUGGUGCUGUGGAGGUGUUGUCUUG
rnacentral:lncRNA from 1 species